ACACUUCUAAUCGCUUACUGGAUAAGAAUAUUAUUAUCGAGUUGAUAUCAUCAGAUCAGAUUAUCAACUUUAACACAUUCUCUACAUAAUCUCAACUUGAUAUCAACAGAUCAGAUUAGCAACACAUUCUCUACAGAAUCUCAAACUGCACUCAGCACAGCUGUAGAGCUUGGUCUUUUUGCCAGCCACAGAUGACUCAUUGUACGUUUCCAAUGGAGAGAUUGAAUGCUUAUUCAGUCCACCCACUUCUGUCGCAUUGGCAGUUUCAGAUGUGCUGCAGCUUGAGGGCCACAUCUCCAUUGAACUUCCUUCUGCCUCUUGCUCAACUGCAAACACCAAUAAUGAAACUUGUAAAUGAUUGAAGCAGAAUGGAGACAAUAAAGCAAUGAUAAAAUCUA